CGCGUAGGCGGUCUGGUUAGUCUGAUGUGAAAGCCCUCGACUUAAUCGAGGAAGUGCAUUGGAUACUGCCGGACUGGAGUGCAGGAGAGGUGAGCGGAAUUCCAGGUGUAGAGGUGAAAUUCGUAGAUAUCUGGAGGAACAACGGUGGCGAAGGCGGCUCACUGGACUGUUACUGACGCUGAGGCGCGAAAGCGUGGGGAGCAAACA
rnacentral:rRNA from 1 species